rnacentral:rRNA from 1 species
UACGGAGGGGGCUAGCGUUGUUCGGAAUUACUGGGCGUAAAGCGCGAGUAGGCGGAUCUGCAAGUCGGGGGUGAAAUCCCGAGGCUCAACCUCGGAACUGCCUUCGAUACUGCGGGUCUCGAGUCCGGGAGAGGUGAGUGGAAUUCCUAGUGUAGAGGUGAAAUUCGUAGAUAUUAGGAAGAACACCAGUGGCGAAGGCGGCUCACUGGCCCGGUACUGACGCUGAGGCGCGAAAGCGUGGGGAGCAAACAGG